UCCGGAGGGGACUAGCGUUGUUCGGAAUUACUGGGCGUAAAGCGCACGUAGGCGGAUUUGUAAGUCAGGGGUGAAAUCCCGAGGCUCAACCUCGGAACUGCCUUUGAUACUGCAAAUCUCGAGUCCGGAAGAGGUGAGUGGAAUUCCUAGUGUAGAGGUGAAAUUCGUAGAUAUUAGGAAGAACACCAGUGGCGAAGGCGGCUCACUGGUCCGGUACUGACGCUGAGGUGCGAAAGCGUGGGGAGCAAACAGG
rnacentral:rRNA from 1 species